rnacentral:lncRNA from 1 species
GUUUGCUGAGGCUGUGAAUAUUGAAGGCUAUUAAGUUUUUGCACUUGGAUCAGUUGACAAACGUUACAGUUCUAACGUUACACGAAUCACCAAAAACCACGAAUUCAGCUAAAAAAAUAUAACAAUUCUACUGCCUAAAGGGACAAAGAAACUCUCCUACACAUUUUCGACGCACUGAGUCAAGCGUGUUUUGGAUAGACAGUAUGGCGCCCGGUCGCUUCUGUGUACAUUACGGACAGACGUGCAGCUCUCGGCUGAGAGCAAGACCUAUGCUGGAUCUGGAUUCUCAGAGUUCUGCUCUGCUGAAGAAUCCCAUUGUCUGUCUUGCCGUGAGUGGAAAGCGCUUCCCAGGACUUGCCUUGUCUAAAUAAGCCAUGACAGAGUGGACUCCCUCCUGCAAUUGCCUCUUGGACUCACUUAUCUCUGGCAGACGCACUCUCAACACAAACCAGUGCCGUCUCUCUCUGUCACACAGCCUAAUCUGUAAUGUCAUGGUUCACUGAAACACUCCCACCGACUCUCCAAAAACUGGCACUCGGAUUGUGCAUGGACAUUUAAAAUGUUUGAGUUCCUUUCCAUUUUUAAAAUGUUGUUUAAAAUCCUUUAUGAUCAUUAUUUAAAAUACAGUUAGUAAUAAAUAUUAAGCAAUUUUUCUAGUGAUACAAAGCUCAAAUUUAGUCCAGCCUUUAGAGUAACAUGAUCCUUCAGAAAUCAUUUUUAUAUAAGCAACAUUUAUUACUGUAAUCAUUGUUAAAAAACUAAUGUGGUGCUUAGUAUUUUAUUGGAAAAUGAUACACUUUUAGAAUGCUCCAUGCAUUAUUAAAAGGUUACCAGUUACUGUAAUUAAAUUAACA